rnacentral:rRNA from 1 species
UACAGAGGCCUCGAGCGUUGUUCGGAAUUACUGGGCGUAAAGAGAACGUAGGUGGUGACGUAAGUCAGAUGUGAAAGCCCUGGGCUUAACCCGGGAAGUGCAUUUGAUACUGCGUUGCUGGAGUACGGAAGAGGAAAGCGGAAUUUCCAGUGUAGGAGUGAAAUCCGUAGAUAUUGGAAGGAAUACCGAUGGCGAAGGCAGCUUUCUGGUUCGUAACUGACACUGAGGUUCGAAAGCGUGGGUAGCAAACAGG